rnacentral:rRNA from 1 species
CGUACAAGCAGUGGGAGCAUAGUUUAGGCUGUGUGACUGCGUACCUUUUGUAUAAUGGGUCAGCGAGUUACUUUCAGUGGCGAGGUUAACUGAAUAAGGGAGCCGUAGAGAAAUCGAGUCUGAAUAGGGCGAUAGUCGCUGGGAGUAGACCCGAAACCGGGCGAUCUAGCCAUGUGCAGGAUGAAGGUUGGGUAACACCAACUGGAGGUCCGAACCGGGUAAUGUUGAAAAAUUAUCGGAUGACGUGUGGCUAGGAGUGAAAGGCUAAUCAAGCCCGGAGAUAGCUGGUUCUCCCCGAAAGCUAUUUAGGUAGCGCCUCGUGAAUGAUUACUGGGGGUAGAGCACUGUUUCGGCUAGGGGGCUGUCAUGGCUUACCAAACCGAUGCAAACUCCGAAUACCGGCUAAUUGAAUCACGGGAGACACACGGCGGGUGCUAACGUCCGUCGUGGAGAGGGAAACAACCCAGACCGCCAGCUAAGGUCCCCAAGUACUAGUUAAGUGGGAAACGAUGUGGGAAGGCAUAGACAGCCAGGAGGUUGGCUUAGAAGCAGCCACCCUUUAAAGAAAGCGUAAUAGCUCACUGGUCGAGUCGGCCUGCGCGGAAGAUGUAACGGGGCUAAAACUAGUCACCGAAGCUGCGGAUGUGCGCGAAAGCGCACGUGGUAGGGGAGCGUUCUGUAGGCUGAUGAAGGUGCAUUGAGAAGUGUGCUGGAGGUAUCAGAAGUGCGAAUGCUGACAUGAGUAACGAUAAUGUGGGUGAAAAGCCCACACGCCGGAAGUCCCAGGUUUC